CAGCAGCCGCGGGAAUACAGAGGGUGCGAGCGUUAAUCGGAUUUACUGGGCGUAAAGCGUGCGUAGGAGGCUUCUUAAGUCGGAUGUGAAAUCCCUGAGCUUAACUUAGGAAUUGCAUUCGAUACUGGGAAGCUAGAGUAUGGGAGAGGAUGGUAGAAUUCCAGGUGUAGCGGUGAAAUGCGUAGAGAUCUGGAGGAAUACCGAUGGCGAAGGCAGCCAUCUGGCCUAAUACUGACGCUGAGGUACGAAAGCAUGGGGAGCAAACAGGAUUAGAUACCCCAGUAGUCCCUGUCUCUUAUAA
rnacentral:rRNA from 1 species